rnacentral:rRNA from 1 species
UACGGAGGGGACUAGCGUUGUUCGGAAUUACUGGGCGUAAAGCGCACGUAGGCGGAUUUGUAAGUCAGGGGUGAAAUCCCGGGGCUCAACCUCGGAACUGCCUUUGAUACUGCAAAUCUCGAGUCCGGAAGAGGUGAGUGGAAUUCCUAGUGUAGAGGUGAAAUUCGUAGAUAUUCGCAAGAACACCAGUGGCGAAGGCGGACUCACUGGUCCGGUACUGACGCUGAGGUGCGAAAGCGUGGGGAGCAAACAGGG